ACCGGGAGGGGACCGCCCGCGUCCCUGGAACAUCUGCGGCAGAUUGCUGCGGGCCUCGCUGGGCAGCCGAGGGGGAUAUCGGGUGCUGGCUCUCAAAUGCUUGUUUUAAUUCUUUCUGGGUUUUUUGUUCCACAUUAGUGGGCCGCCCGAACCGGUAUUCUCUUCAUCAAAGGAGAUAUAAGUUUUUCAGGGUCAUGGGGUGAGUUUUUAUCCAGCAAAUUCAGUAGCCUUUGCUUUUUCUAUGAACAUAUCGGCAAAAUAUAGGAUUGGGACUUCUAUGGUGUAAAGGUCGGGCCCUUCACACUGUUGUGUUGGGUAGAGCAGCUGAGAAAGUCACAGGCCAAGGCGUCAUUUGCAGAGCACACGGAGCUGCCCGGGACACCGCCCCAGCACCGGGGAGCUCCGAGCACCUCCCAGCCCAGCGAGACUCCCCUGAGCACCGCCUCAAGGCCGGGGUCAGGCCCGGCACAGGGAACAUCCAAGCUGUGCUCCUGCUCAGUGCCGUCUGCAGGUGGGGUGCUGACGGUGGCCGGGGACAAAGCGUGGCUGUGACCGCGCUGUCACACACAGCGUGGCUGUGACCGCACCGGCACCGCGGCCGCUCACCUCUCCUCCCACACCCGGCUCAAGGUGCCCAACGCUUUAACACAGCACUGCUUGGCUACACUCCAUCUAUCUUGAGAUACAGCUGCUGUCCCCAUGUUACAUCCCCAUUAGAAAGUCUAAAAAUAGGGGGCUGGAAUCAAUCCUGUUGCAAUUUCUCAGAUCGCUAUCAAGAACUGGCCUGAUUCCUUAAGAGUCCCUCCUAAGGCGAACUUUAGUUCUACAUCCCCAUACUUGGCUUUUGUUUUGUUUUGAAGCAGGGAAAUAGUCUGUUUAUGUGUUAGAGCAGUGGCUGAAAUGAGAUCUUUACUUUUCACAAGAGCUUUACACACAUGCUUUGAAAAGUAUUUUUUCUUAUGAUUGUUAAUCCUGGAGCAGGAAUUUCCUAUUGCAUUCCUCACAGCAGGAGUGCAAGAGGGAGAGGCUGCUCUUUCUCUAGCAAUAUCCUUUUCCACCCUUCCUGUUGAUAUAGCAUUUUUGUUUAACAGGACAGAAUUUCUGACACAAAUAGCUUGACAUACCAACAGGGAAAUCUCAAAACCAUGGGUUUUCCAAAGCUUCCCUGGACAGCCUUUAGUGAGCAAAAAACACAAUGGAUACUUCAGUGUACUGUUCCUUAAGUGUCAUUUAUCUGAUGGGAAGUUGAGGCCCAUCCCAGUUGAUGUUUUCACCAUUACCUCAGGAACAAAGAGGUGAUUUUCACAGGUGACAAGCCCAUGCACCCCCACACACAAGGCAGUGGCCCUGAAGUGCAAAACCCACAGCAUUUCUCCGUGCAAGAACAUAAG
rnacentral:lncRNA from 1 species